UGGAGAGUUUGAUCCUGGCUCAGGACGAACGCUGGCGGCGUGCUUAAUACAUGCAAGUCGAACGAGGACCGGGUGCUUGCAUCCGGAGCCGAGUGGCGAACGGGUGAGUAACACGUGACCAAUCUACCCUUGGGAGAGGGACAACCUGGGGAAACCCGGGCUAAUACCGCAUGAUGUGCAGCCAUCACAUGUUGGCUGCACCAAAGAGGGCCUCUACUUGUAAGCUCUCGCCCAGGGAGGAGGUCGCGGCGUAUCAGCUUGUUGGUGGGGUAACGGCCCACCAAGGCGACGACGCGUAGCGGGUCUGAGAGGACGAUCCGUCACAUUGGGACUGAGAUACGGCCCAGACUCCUACGGGAGGCAGCAGUAGGGAAUAUUGCGCAAUGGUCGAAAGACUGACGCAGCGACGCCGCGUGUGGGAGGAAGCCUUUCGGGGUGUAAACCACUGUCAGAGGGGAAGAACACCGCACGCUCGAACAGGGCGUGCGCUUGACGGUACCCUCAGAGGAAGCGCCGGCUAACUCCGUGCCAGCAGCCGCGGUAAGACGGAGGGCGCAAGCGUUGUUCGGAAUUACUGGGCGUAAAGCGCGGGCAGGUGGUCUGUUAAGUCUCUUGUGAAACUCCGGGGCUCAACUCCGGACAUGCAGGAGAUACUGGCGGACUGGAGACCGGUAGAGGCCAGCGGAAUUCCUGGUGUAGCGGUGGAAUGUGUAGAUAUCAGGAAGAACACCGGUGGCG
rnacentral:rRNA from 1 species